CUUCACGCGGCGAGGUGUGCCAGCGUCGCUGUAUUUUCUUGCGGCUCCUCUCCACCGACGGCCAGACCGUGGCCCUCGCAGCACCCUGCUCUGGGACGUCGCCUGCAGAUGAGCAGCAGUAGUAGUACGGCCGAUAUAUCAGCUUCUCCGGACAGGAGUCGACCACAUCUGCUGGGAGCUACCUUGGGAGGGACAGCAGUUUUCAGGUGGAGUGGCUCAGGUGGAGUGGAUUUGGAUUAUACAUUAUUGCUACCAGCGAUCUGAGGAUCGGAGAUUGAAGAAGAUGAAUCAUGUACUGGCAGCUUGGUUGCGUUGUAUGCAGAAACUUUACUUCACAAAGAGCCUUAAGGCAGAAGUUGACCAUAUACCAGCUCCCUAGAUUGUACCAUCCCUGUCCCUAACCCACAGUAAGUUGUUUUUAGAUUGUUGGUCACCUGAAACAGGUAGUACCUUAUGUGACCCUGAAACUAUGUGCUCCUCUUUCGGCUAUCUGGAUUUGAUUCUUGAACAACUUCAGUUAUUUUCAAUGUACACUGCAGAAUUCACUUGAAGAGGCUCAAGAGAACAAAGUCCAAACUGGGAGGGUUCCCUCUGAUUCUGCAUAUAUUCACUUUGAUUCGUAGUAUAACGACUCACAUGAUUAUAUUAGACUGCUACGGACGAGUCUCAACCUGUAUAUAUUCAGGGCCUGCAAACGAGGACCGUCGAUCCAAGGAGGCCAGCACAUAGCAUCAGCGUCAUGGCGGCAAUCAAGUAUUGACUUUGACUUGCAGCUCAAAGAUAAGGCGGCCGCGCUGGCUUCAUGUCCUCUGCCGACAAGUUUGUCGCUGCCUUUGUCAUUGCCCCACCUCCACCGACUCCACCGGGAGGGAAGGGCAACCGAGGAGCCGAGGUGGAAGACGAAGAAUUGAAGAAUCGGUAGAUCAUGCUCUUCCCACUGGUGGCAUGGAUGUCCCAGACAACCUUGGUAUGUCCCUAGCAAUUUUUUAUUUUUAAUUUUUCUUCUCCAAAACUCACAUCAAGUUUUUUGUUUAAAAGAGUUUAGUUCAAAACAAUUAAUCUUUUGAAUAUAAACUUUUAAAUAUGAUUUUUUAUAGUACGUUUCUAUUACACUGGAAACUAGGAAAACACAUUAAUUAAGAAACUAGAUAAUACCUUGAGCGUUGCCGCGGUUAGCCAAAAUAUAACAGUUGAAGAGAUGUGUAUAAGGAAUAAAGGUCAAAGAAAAGUGGAGUGCUUUUGCAUUUUAUAGUGAUGUACACUGCGUCAAUCUUAAGAUCCCGCCUGCAGUCAUUUGGUUUCAGAGGUAAGUGAUCUUUAUCUUAUUGCAAUUAUCUUUUCUCUGUAUAAUAGAUAAUUUUUGUUCUCUCAGUAAUCACCGAGGAAGACUAACUGCAAAGCAGCAUCUUAUCUUGUUGUUAUUCAAGGGGCUACUCUAUGGAAUUAUGAAUUUAUCUUUCCAUACCUUCAUAUAGUAGUCUAGCUCAUGAGUUUUCCUAACAUUUCCUAGAGUAUAAGUUUAGUAAUUUAUAGCUGGGACUAUCCUGCCUUUUAUUGAUGAUCUAGACUGUAAACAUAUCUCCUGGUACUUAAUAGGAGUCUUUACCCUAAAAGCAAUGUCAAGGAUUAUGUGCCAAUCUUCGAUUAAAUCCUAAAAUGAUUUCUUUGGUAGAUUGGAUUGUUCCUAUUCUAGGAUGUACUGAGGAUGUCUUAGGUGGAAAAAAGAAUUGCAAUUGUAUUUAUUCAUCAACUAAUUUGAUCAGUUUUCCUUUCACGUCAUGUGAGAGUUUGCAUUAACACAGCGCUGAUGUUUAUUUCUGUCCAAUUAUAAAAUAUUCAACUUUACGUCACAACAUGAUAUGAACUGUGUGGAGAGCUAUGUGCAAUACCUUUACAAUUGGUUGCUUAAGCAUUACCAAGAAGAGAUGGAAUUCAUGGUCAAGAGUCAUGACAAGGCAGCAAUGGAGCGCCUUGAUCUUGUUUCAUCGACGCCUUUCAAAGGCAUUUCAUAUACAAAGGCUGUGAAAGAUGCAGAUAGGAAGUUCGAGAAUACGGUUCAAUGGGGAAUUGUUUUAGCAUCUGAGCAUGAGAGGUAUUUGACUGAGGUGGUGUUCUAGAAGCUUGCUAUUAUUUUUUAAUUACCCAAAGGAUGAACCCAUUUUAUAUUAGGCUCAAUGAUGACCAAAAGAGAGUCGCUGCUAUGGAUGUUUUUGUUCCCCUUCUGUUUCUUUAUCAUGGCCAUAAUUUGGAUUAUCAUAUUAUUAUUGAUGGUUGUUCCUUUGGUUCUCCUACAAAUAUUGUCUUUAGAUGUAUCGUUAGAUGACAGGCGGUUGUUGCUGCUGCUGCAGGGAUACUACUUUUGCUUCGUCGUGAGUGUGAUUAAUGCUAAAUUCAGCCUAAAUGUUUUGUAUUGAACUGAAUGUUGAAUUCGGCAACACUGUGCCUCCUAAUUUUUGCCCUUACCAUCCAUCCUUUUCCAAUGACAUAACAUUCUUUUGUCCUUUUCACGUAGUGAUUACUAAGUUCUGAUAUUUUUUUGCGGGAAGUUCUGAAAUUUUUAGUAUAAGUGCCAUCAUAAAAGUAUGAUGUUAGAUGCAGUUUUCCCUAAAUUAGGAUCCAAGUUCUAAUGUUUGUUUUCUGAAUUUGGAAAAUUAUCCAAAAGGCUAAAGCAUAUGAGGAAUCUCUGCAUUCUUUCUACCUCUUUCCAUAUACGAGGGCAGAGGAUGUGAGGCAAGUACUGCUAUAUUUUUCUUUAAUGAGUAGUAGCAAUCUGACGGGCUACACAAAAUAAAUGUAGGUAUUAGAAAGGAAACUUGAGUGGGCGUGACACGAGUUAUUUUAGGUGUGGUACACAUCAGUAUAUUAUACAUGCUCGGUAAACCAUUUUAUUCAAGGGAGUAUUUCUAGACUGGAGCGUGUUUUCCUACUGCCUGUGCUGUUUGAUACCACUUCUGUCUAUGCAUAAUCUUUCUUGUGUGUGGAUCUACUGUUAGGCACAGUAGCAAGAACAUAAGGAAAUUUAGCUAUUAUUGGUAAUGAGGGAAUGUGGAGAGAGAUUUCAGCUGCUGUUUAUGUGGUGGCGUGCUUGGCACUUAAGUGCACAUGCGGGACAAGUUUUGUGAUCAUUCGUAACUGUAAUGGAAGUAUUGUCUCAUUGUUAGUUCACUGGUUGAGCUAAAGCUGUCGCUCUUGAAGUGACUAGACAGGCUGCAACCUUCAGCGUCCUCCCAUCAUUCAACUGGGUAUGUUCAGAUAUGUUCCAUUUUGUUACCUUCUACCUAUGUUUCAGCAGCUGCCAGAAAUAAUCAUCUAAUUUUGUCUGCAUUAUCUAAGAAUGCAAGCACAUAUUUUAUAUUCCGAAGGUUUAAUAGAGCAAGCACAAACUUGAUUGCUGUCCAAAAAUAUUACAUAAAUAAAUAUUUCUAGGACAAUUCUUAAGUGUAUUUUUGUAGCUACCAGCUCUUGCAUUAUUGCACAUUCUGCUACAAUACUUUAUGUUAUGUUUGAAACUACUACUUCUAGCAUUGCCUAUCAAUGGUCUCUUGAGCAUGUCUACACGGUGGUCCAGUAACUGUUUUUUCUUGCAGCAUUAUACAUCUCUUCUGCCUCCAGUAGUAAAACACACAUGGUAUGUUCUUUAUUAGAGCUUGCGAAAAAUGCAACUUUUGUUAAAAUGUAAUUGUUUAAGAGGAUUUUUCAAGCAACAUAACAGAAGACCGCAAGGCAAAUCUGGAGAAAUAACUUCGUAAUUAUUUACGUACUCAGUUUCUAUUUUACGUAAAGCACGGUGAAUCAUUCUUGUGAUGGUACUUUGGGCCCUCGGUCCUGACCGUGAAAUUGACUACGACGGGGAUGAUUAUAGUGUGCCUGCGAGGUUGCCUCUAAUAUGAAACCAGGCCCAAACUAUGUUGAGCCUAACAUACCUCGCUGGAGUGAUUUGUGUAGUGUGUGAAUCUUAAGAUGAGGUUAGAUGCUGCCCAACAAGAACUUGGAUAGGGACAUCGGUGUGAUGUCAAUCUGCAAAUCGUUAAUAAAGCCUUGUAAUUUUGCAGUGUAGGGUUGAUAUAUACGGUUUUUUUCUCACCAUUGGUGAACCCAAGGAGCACCGAUAUGUUCAUGGAAUCUUCAGCUGCAGCUGAUCUGAGGUACCAUCCAUUUAGCCGAGGUACCAUGGAUGCAAGGUGGAGCGGGAGGAGAAUUUGUGCACCAGCCGUGGUCUCCUUGAUGUUGCACUCAUUAUAUGGAGAACAAAAAAAUGUAUUAAAGAAAUCACGGUGGUGCAUUUGUUCUGAGUAUCUAACAUGAUCAUUGAGUAUGCAUUAAUUCA